UGGGUAACCUGCCUCAAAGAGGGGAAUAGCCUCCCCGAAAGGGAGAUUAAUACCGCAUAAUAUGUUUAAGUCGCAUGACUUUAACAUCAAAGGAUUUUCUUUUAAGAAAAUUCCACUUUGAGAUGGACCCGCGGCGCAUUAGCUAGUUGGUGAGGUAACGCCUCACCAAGGCAACGAUGCGUAGCCGACCUGAGAGGGUGAUCGGCCACAUUGGAACUGAGACACGGUCCAGACUCCGUAGGGAG
rnacentral:rRNA from 1 species